rnacentral:misc_RNA from 1 species
UCCGGUUUGUCACCGGCAGUCUCAUUAGAGUGCCCUUGCGUAGCAACUAAUGAUAAGGGUUGCGCUCGUUGCGGGACUUAACCCAACAUCUCACGACACGAGCUGACGACAGCCAUGCACCACCUGUGGACGCCCCCGAAGGACACCGCAUCUCUACGGCUUUAACGCCCAUGUCAAGCCCAGGUAAGGUUCUUCGCGUUGCGUCGAAUUAAACCACAUGCUCCACCGCUUGUGCGGGCCCCCGUCAAUUCAUUUGAGUUUUAACCUUGCGGCCGUACUCCCCAGGCGGUCAACUUAAUGCGUUAGCUGCGCCACUAAGAGCUCAAGGCUCCCAACGGCUAGUUGACAUCGUUUACGGCGUGGACUAC